CUAAGCUACUAAGGGCAGACGGUGGAUGCCUUGGUGCCAAGCGGCGAUGAAAGACGUGGUAAGCUGCGAUAAGCUUCGGGGAGGAGCUAAACAUCCUUUGAUCCGGAGAUUUCUGAAUGGGGAAACCCGAUGCGGUUAAUCCUGCAUCAUCAUAUACUGAAUACAUAGGUAUAUGAGGCUAACGAGGGGAACUGAAACAUCUUAGUACCCUCAGGAAGAGAAAAUAAUAAUGAUUUCCUAAGUAGCGGCGAGCGAACGGGAAUUAGCCCAAACCGAUCAUAUGUAAGCCUGGAAGCGUUGUAUGAUUGGGGUCGUGGGGCUUGAUUGGAGGAGGUUCCAGCCUCUUCGGGAAGUUACAAAUCUGAUAUAUAGCUGAAUAAUCUGGAAAGGUUAUCCAUAGAAGGUGACAGGCCUGUAGGCGAAAUGUAUCAGACUUCCUGGAUCGAGAACCCAAGUACCGCGGGACACGAGAAACCCUGUGGGAAUUUGUGAGGACCAUCUCACGAGGCUAAAUACGUCUUGGCGACCGAUAGUGUACCAGUACCGUGAGGGAAAGGUGAAAAGCACCCCGGUGAGGGGAGUGAAAUAGUACCUGAAACCGUCUGCUUACAAGCAGUGGGAGCACUAUGUUCUUCGGAACAGUGUGACUGCGUGCCUUUUGCAUAAUGAGUCAGCGAGUUACUUUACGUAGCAAGGUUAAGCCGUCAGGUGUAGCCGUAGCGAAAGCGAGUCUUAAUAGGGCGACUAAGUUGCGUGGAGUAGACCCGAAACCAAGUGAUCUAUCCAUGGCCAGGGUGAAGCGGGAGUAAAAUCUCGUGGAGGCCCGAACCGCCGUACGUUGAAAAGUACUCGGAUGAGCUGUGGAUAGGGGUGAAAGGCCAAACAAACUUGGAAAUAGCUGGUUCUCCCCGAAAUAUAUUUAGGUAUAGCCUUGCGAAAUUAAGCAACGGGGGUAGAGCACUGAAUAGGCUAGGGGCCCCACCAGGUUACCAACCCUAAUCAAACUCCGAAUACCGUUGACUUCUAUCGCAGGAGUCAGACUACGGGAGCUAAGUUCCGUGGUCGAGAGGGAAACAGCCCAGACCGUCAGCUAAGGUCCCCAAAUGUGUGCUAAGUGGUGAAGGAUGUGGGAAUGCACAGACAACCAGGAGGUUGGCUUAGAAGCAGCCACCCUUUAAAGAAAGCGUAACAGCUCACUGGUCAAGUGAGCCUGCGCCGAAGAUGUAACGGGGCUCAAGUACACUACCGAAGCUACGGAAUGAAAUUUAUUUCAUUGGUAGGGGAGCAUUGCCUGCGGGCUGAAGCAUGACCGUAAGGACAUGUGGACUGCAGGGAAGAGACCAUGCUGACAUGAGUAGCGAUAAAGCGGGUGAGAAACCCGCUCGCCGUAAGCCAAAGGUUUCCUGAGUAAAGCUAAUCUGCUCAGGGUUAGUCGAUCCCUAAGCCGAGGCCGAAAGGCGUAGGUAAUGGAAAACAGGUUAAUAUUCCUGUACCACCUGAUCAUCGUUUGAGAGAAGGGGGGACGCAGAAGGGUAGGUCAUCCACCUGUUGGAAUAGGUGGUUUAAGCGAGUAGGCUUGGAAGAUAGGCAAAUCCGUUUUCCUUUAAGGCUGAGACGUGAUGACGAGGGGUUUACCCCAUAAAGUGAUUGAUCCCAUACUGCCAAGAAAAGCCUCUAUCGAGAUGAUAAGGUGAUCGUACCGCAAACCGACACAGGUAGGCAGGGAGAGAAUCCCAAGGCGCUUGAGAGAACUCUGGUUAAGGAACUCGGCAAAAUGACACCGUAACUUCGGGAGAAGGUGUGCCCUCGUUAAGUGAAGCAACUGGCUUGCUGAGCUGAAGGGGGUCGCAGAGAAACGGCGGUAGCGACUGUUUACUAAAAACACAGGACUCUGCUAAGUCGCAAGACGAUGUAUAGGGUCUGACGCCUGCCCGGUGCUGGAAGGUUAAGGGGAUGUGUUAGCGUUUCGGCGCGAAGCAUUGAACCGAAGCCCCAGUAAACGGCGGCCGUAACUAUAACGGUCCUAAGGUAGCGAAAUUCCUUGUCGGGUAAGUUCCGACCUGCACGAAUGGCGUAACGACUUCCGCACUGUCUCAACCAGAGACUCAGCGAAAUUG
rnacentral:rRNA from 1 species